UACGAAGGGGGCUAGCGUUGUUCGGAAUUACUGGGCGUAAAGCGCACGUAGGCGGAUUGGUCAGUUAGGGGUGAAAUCCCAGAGCUCAACUCUGGAACUGCCUUUAAUACUGCCAGUCUCGAGUCCGGAAGAGGUAAGUGGAACUCCUAGUGUAGAGGUGGAAUUCGUAGAUAUUAGGAAGAACACCAGUGGCGAAGGCGGCUUACUGGUCCGGUACUGACGCUGAGGUGCGAAAGCGUGGGGAGCAAACAGG
rnacentral:rRNA from 1 species